rnacentral:rRNA from 1 species
AGUGAAUAGAUACCCGGGUAGUCCACACCGUAAACGAUGGGUACUAGAUGUCGGGAGUUCUUACCCUCUCGGUGUCGUAGCUAAACGCGCUAAGUACCCCGCCUGGGGACUACGGUCGCAAGAUUAAAACUCAAAGAAAUUGACGGGGGCCCGCACAAGCGGUGGAUUAUGUGGUUUAAUUCGAUGCAACGCGAAAGACCUUACCUGGGCUUGACAUCCCGUGCUACCUGGUGAAAGUCAGGGUUCCCUUCGGGGACGCGGAGACAGAUGCUGCAUGGCUGUCGUCAGCUCGUGUCGUGAGAUGUUGGGUUAAGUCCCGCAACGAGCGCAACCCUUGCCGUUAGUUGCCAGCAUUAAGUUGGGCACUCUAACGGGACCGCUUGCCGAUAAGGCAGAGGAAGGCAAGGAUGACGUCAAGUCCGCAUGGCUCUUACGCCCAGGGCAACACACGUAAUACAAUGGCUAACACAGAGCGUCGCAAGACCGUGAGGUGGAGCUAAUCGCACAAAGUUAGCCUCAGUUCGGAUUGUAGUCCGCAACUCGAC